rnacentral:rRNA from 1 species
UGUGUCCUACGGGGCGCAGCAGUGAGGAAUAUUGGUCAAUGGUCGGGAGACUGAACCAGCCAAGCCGCGUGAGGGAUGAAGGUACAGAGUAUCGUAAACCUCUUUUGUCAGGGAACAAAGGCGGGGACGCGUCCCCGGAUGAGUGUACCUGAAGAAAAAGCAUCGGCUAACUCCGUGCCAGCAGCCGCGGUAAUACGGAGGAUGCGAGCGUUAUCCGGAUUUAUUGGGUUUAAAGGGUGCGCAGGCGGUCUUGUAAGUCAGCGGUCAAAGCCCGG